GAUGAACGCUGGCGGCGUGCCUAACACAUGCAAGUCGAACGAACCUAAUCUUCGGAAAGGGUUAGUGGCGCACGGGUGAGUAACACGUAGGUGACCUGCCCCAGAGUGGGGGAUAACUUCUCGAAAGAGAAGCUAAUACCGCAUACGCUCAGCCAUUCAUUUGGUUGAGUAAAGCUCUGGCGCUCUGGGAGGGGCCUGCGUCCGAUUAGCUAGUUGGUGAGGUAAUGGCUUACCAAGGCAAUGAUCGGUAGCUGGUCUGAGAGGACGAUCAGCCACACUGGCACUGACACACGGGCCAGACUCCUACGGGUGGCAG
rnacentral:rRNA from 1 species